rnacentral:lncRNA from 1 species
UCCCUACAAAUAUUCUAACUUUUUAUUUUAGUUCUAAUUUUUUUUUUUGAAGAAGCUAAAAUGAAAUUUAUUUAAAACACUAAGAUCCCAGCAAGCAUAAGGAAUGCUAGGCUAGGAGACUUAAAAAACAACAUACAAAGGAAAAGUGUGUCGUAUAUAUGCGGAACACCCAUGUACAAAUACAAACUUCUACAAACAAACCAAAAACACCCUCCACUGAGGGCCCUCGAAACCAAUAAAAACUAAACACCAAACCAAGAAGUCAUCACCAAAAACCAAAGUCUAAACGCCUUAAACAAGCCACACCGUCUAACAUCCAUGUAUUUGAAAACAUUAUCAACAACAAACUCAUAUAAGAAAACCUUCAAAAAACAUAAUCACCACUAGCCACCACAAGCACCACCACCAACCCCAAACCUACCAUUAACCAACACGAAAACCACCAUUAAUCCUCACCAAAAACCAACACCAACCACCACGAGCAUCACCACCAAAAAACAACACCAGCCACCACGAGCAUCACCACCAAAAACCACCACGAGCACCACCACAAAAGACCAAGUAUCAGCACCACCAUGAAAACCACCACAAUCCAACAUAACAAAAAAACAACGUACGAGCUUCUCAACAUCAUCACCACAAACAAAACUCACCGCCACAUAAAAAUAAAAUAAAAAUUAAUCUUAACACUUAUAAGUAACAAGACACUACCUUCUCCAUAACACAACAUCAUAGGUCCUAAAAGAGUGCAAGCAAGCAAAAGUGCCAAAACAAAAGGUAACCUACACAUAACAUGAUCCUCUGGCACACAUGUUUUCCCUUAGACCUCUAAUUUCGUAAGUCCAUGCCUACAACCACAUUCAAGUAAUAUAUGGCUUAAACUCAACACUAACCACACCUAAAAUUAUGCAUAAGCAGUAUGUCAAAAACCAUAGCAGCACAAAAUUGAACAACCAUUAAAUAAGCUUUACACAUUGAAUACACCAACAGAACACAAACACGACAAAUUAAGACCAUCCUGCACUCCCUAAACCAAUGAAAGGCAAACCUGCCACAAAAACGCAGCAACACCACAAAAACUACGUUGAGAACCACCACAAAAAGCUAGCAGCAUCACCGCCACAAAACCCCUCCGAAAACCAUCACAAACCAUCACAAAAAACGCAGCAAACUAACACCACCAUGAACACGGGCGAUGGAGAAAACAAUUGCUGAGAGAAACCGGUGGCCGAGUGAUGCGGACGGCCUAAGCCAAUCAUCGCACCACCAACGAUUGAAUCUACAUCGCGGCGGAUAUAGGUUAGAUUGGAAGGAAGGAGGGUGACGGUGGAGAUCUAGAGAGAGGUCAGAGAUGUUUCUACAGAGAGAAAUUUAGGGUUUGCAUUUUUAUUUUAGUUCUAUUUUUUUUUUACUUUUAAUUUCCCCCAAGAGUUUUCUAUCAUCAUUUUUUGUCUCUGCUUUUAAUUCAACUCAUCUAUCAAUCAAAAUUUUGAUUUUUUUUUCAUAGUCAUAUUUAGUACAUUAUAGAAUUCUCUUUUCCAAAUGUUUUCUUAACAAUGGAUGAACUAAAUAUGAACUGCUUGAAAAUUCAUAUUUAAUUCAUGUUUCGUUAAAAAAUUCUAUUUUUUUUAGGACAUUCGUAUAAUAUUCUAAAUAUUCAUAUAGAAAAAAUAUUCAAAAAUUUGAAAGGUACACAUGACCUGACUUAAAAAUAGUAACAAAAAGUGUGGACAAGAGAACUAAGAAUCAGAACAAAAAUCAAGAGAACUAAAACGAAAAGUAAGAAUUUUUAUAGGGUAAGAAAAAUAUUUAAGCCUAAAUAGAUAAUAGGCUUAAUACAUGCUUUGGUCCCUUAACUUAUUUUUGGAUUUCAUUUUGGUCCCCUAACUAUAAAGUGUCUCAAUUUGGUUCCAUAAAUCUUCUUCCGUUUACUAUUUUGGUCCCCUCCGUUAGUUUUUUAAUGUCAAAUAUUUAUGAUAUAAUUUCAACCAUUAGAUUGCAGGUCCAUUAAAUACAAUGUGAACCAUCACCACAUAAUUUUUUCCCCUUCUUCAUCUUCUUCUUUCCACCCCUUCUCAUAUUCAUACAAAAUUCAAGGAACAUUUUUAUUUUAUUUUAUAAAAAGAACAUUUUAUUAAAGAAUUAACCAACAUUACAAAUGGACAUAAUGUGAUCUGGAACGGAUUCCAUCCACACAACAUACGAAAGUAUAUUUGGCUAGCUCAUGAGCCAAUUUAUUCUCAUCCCUCUUAGUAAAUUGAAAUUUACACUUUAUAAAAAAGACUUUUCAUAUUUCUAAUGCCCAGCACUAUCUUUCCCAUGUAAGAUCUAGAAACAUAAACACUUCCGUUCACCCUUUUUACGAGUUUAUCGCAGUCACUCUCGAACUACUGCCCCUAAUCCCCAGGUAUCAAUUUCAGACAAAUUAGCAUCACUAUUAGCUUUUACAUAAUCAGCUUCUGGUUUGUUCCAUCUAAUUUGUGUGUUUCGGUGUUGGGUGUGGUGUUGUGUUUGAUUUAGAAUCAUGCAACAAGGAGAGAUAAUUUUUUUAUGAUGUUGUUGUUUCAAAGCACCAUGUUGUUGUUGUGCUGUUUAUGUGCUGAAUUUGGAGAAAUUCAUUUUUUUUUAAUUCAUGAUGAUGAUGAUGAAAAGAAUAAAAAAGGGUUGAAUUUGAUUUUUUGAUGUGUUGUUGCUGCUAUUGAUGAUGAUUUCUGGAUUUUUGUAGAAAAAAAAAAAAUCAGGGUUUUAAUUCUAUUUGAAGGUUUAUGUAUUUUAAUUUAAUGAAGUUUGUUGUUGUUUUAGUUUGAGUUUUCGGUUAAUUAAGUUUUUGGUCCCUAUAAAUAUCUGCAGUUUUGUUUUUAGUCCCUAUAAAAAUAAAUCACACUUUUUAGUCCCUACAAAAUUUUCCGUUAGUGUUUUUAGUCCCUGUUAAAUUAAAAUUUGUUUAAUUAUGCUUAAAAUUUUAAAUUUUUUAAUGAUUUUUUACAUACUUGUUCAUAACAUCGUAAGACACUCUUUUGUAAAAAAAUUUAGUUUUUUAACAUGUAAUGAAUUAAGUAUGAAUUUUUCUAAAAGCCAAAUUUUCAAUAUUAUAUUAAUGAAAAUUUGGACCUAAUAAUAAAAUUUUAAGUUAUUUUUUUGCGGAGGAACUUUGUAUAAUAUUCUAAGUAAGUAUAUGAAAAAUAUGUUACAAAUUUAAAAGUUUAAGCACAAUUAAGCAAGUAUUAAUUUUACAAGGACUAAAAGUAUUCGUUGGUCCCUGUUAAAUUGAAAAUUGUUUAAUUAUACUUAAACUUUUAUAUUUUUAAAUGAUUUUUAACAGACAUGUUAAGAACAUUAUAAUAAUCUCUUUUAUAAAAAAUUAGAAUUUUUUAACAUGUAAUGAAUUAAAUAUAAUUUUUUUAAAAAUAAAAUUUUUAAAAAUAAAAUUUUGAGCUAAUCUAUUGUGGCGGAACCUUUUAUAAUGUUUUAAACAAGUAUGUAAAAUAUCAUUAAAAAAUUUAAAAUUUUAAGCAUAAUUAAACAAAUUUUAAUUUAACAGGGACUAAAAACACUAACGGAAAAUUUUGUAGGGACUAAAAACAAAACUACAGAUAUUUAUAGGGACCAAAAACUUAAUUAACCCUUGAAUUUUUUAUAUGAAGUUUUGUGCUUCUGAUUUUUUUGCUUUCCUGGGUAGGAUUGAUGAAGAUGAUGAGAGAAGAAGAUGAAGAAAAUGAGAAAAGUGUUAGGUGUUAGUGGUUCACAGGAAAGUGCAAUAGACCCUACAUAAUUCAACGGUCCUUUUUUAAAGAAUAAAUCAAAUGGUUAAAAUUAGAAAAUUUAAUACGGUUUAUGGUGAACCACCUUUAAAUAUGGUUCACCUCAGACUUUUGAUAUAAUCUGCACGAUAAUAUUGUUUAAUUUAGCCUUUUUUUUUUUAAAGAGGAGAAACAAUUUUUUGAUGACAAGAUUAAUCCACAUACCCAUACCCAAGAGGGUGGAUAUAUGGAUUAAGGCAUGAUGGUUUAAGAGCUCUACAUCAUUUUUAACCUUCAAGAGACGCUCGAUGUGAUUGUUCCGUCAUAGUUCUCAACACUAAACAUUAGCUUUCCAAAUUCACAUCUAAAUAUUCACACCUAAGAGAGUGGAUCACUAGAAGGUUUUCCUCGUUGUUGUAACACUUAAGAUAAUGAUUAGUGUUAGUUUGACAAAUUAAACCAUGAGAAAAAUAGAUUUUGAUGCCUCAAAAUUCAACUCAUUUUUUUUUUGUCAAAUUGAUAUUGAUCGGUUCAGUAUUUCAAUCGAGGAUCCGAGUAAAUCACUUAUUGAAGUGGUCCAUCAUAUAUAGCUUGUCUUUUUACUUUUUCAAAAAAAAAAAAAAAGAGUUGAAUAUUGGAACUCACGAGAGACUUCGACUCAAACAUGAUAAAUAUACUUACAAAUUAU